UACGAAGGGGGCUAGCGUUGUUCGGAAUUACUGGGCGUAAAGCGUGCGCAGGCGGCUUCUCAAGUCAGGGGGUGAAAGCCCAGAGCUCAACUCUGGAAUUGCCUUUGAGACUGAGUGGCUUGAGUACGAGAGAGGUGAGUGGAAUUCCCAGUGUAGAGGUGAAAUUCGUAGAUAUUGGGAAGAACACCGGUGGCGAAGGCGGCGAUCCUGGACCAACACUGACACUGAUGAGCGAAAGCCAGGGGAGCAAACGGG
rnacentral:rRNA from 1 species